rnacentral:rRNA from 1 species
UACGUAGGGGGCAAGCGUUGUCCGGAUUCAUUGGGCGUAAAGCGCGCGCAGGCGGUUGGCAGAGCCCGGCGUGAAAGCUCCCGGCUUAACCGGGAGAGGUCGUCGGGGACCUGUUGACUGGAGGCCGGUAGGGGAGAGCGGAAUUCCCGGUGUAGUGGUGGAAUGCGUAGAGAUCGGGAGGAACACCAGUGGCGAAGGCGGCUCUCUGGACCGGUCCUGACGCUCAGGCGCGAAAGCGUGGGGAGCGAUC